GUCGGAACGAGUGAGGCAUGACGACGCGUCGAAAGGACACCGAACCAUGAAAGCUUACAAAAUAUGGAUUUGACUGAAAUUUGUUGUACUAAAAUUGGAAACUCUGGUGCUGAACUGGACGUUCGUGGCUGACAGGCUGGAGAGAAAGUUUUCGACUGACGCAAACCACAACUUUGGAUUGGCUAAAAUAAAAUCAGAGGACGCAUAUGCAUUUUUUAAAUUAUAUUACCACCGAGAUCGGUCUGUUUGCAGCUCGCAUAGAGCACAGAAAUUUCAAAAUAUAUUUUUACAUAUUGGCACAAA